GCAGCAAUUCUAAUCAGAACUUGUCUCCAUCGCUCUUUCUCCUUUGCAAUUUCUUGCUGCAGAUCUUUAUCAAUUGUCACAUUUUUACUUAGCCUCAGUCUUACCUCAUUCCAAGUAUUCAUGUUAGUGAUAUGCUCAACACUAUUCUCAUGAAGUUUGAGCUUCUCACUUAGAUGCUUCCAGUCCAUUAGUCCUUCAGAUGCUAGUAAACUUUUGCUACUUUCAGACUUGAACAAUUUGUAGCAAAAACAGUAAACUUUAUUCACAUGUUUCGAGUACACCAACCACUUCCGAUCACUGACCUCCCCAUUACUAAGCUUUCUUGAGUAG
rnacentral:rRNA from 1 species